GGCGGACGGGUGAGUAAUGCAUAGGAAUCUGCCCAUGUAGUGGGGGACAACUUCGGGAAACCGGAGCUAAUACCGCAUACGUCCUACGGGGGAAAGGAGGGGAUCUUCGGACCUUUCGCUAUGAGAUGAGCCUGCGUUAGAUUAGCUAGUUGGUAGGGUAAAGGCCUACCAAGGCGACGAUCUAUAGCUGGUCUGAGAGGACGAUCAGCCACACUGGGACUGAGACACGGCCCAGACUCC
rnacentral:rRNA from 1 species